rnacentral:rRNA from 1 species
GACAGAGGGUGCAAACGUUGCUCGGAAUCACUGGGCGUAAAGGGCGUGUAGGCGGGUAGAUAAGUCGGGCGUGAAAUCCCUAGGCUCAACCUAGGAACUGCACUCGAAACUGUUUAUCUUGAGUGCCGGAGAGGAAAGCGGAAUUCCUGGUGUAGAGGUGAAAUUCGUAGAUAUCAGGAGGAACACCAGUGGCGAAGGCGGCUUUCUGGACGGUAACUGACGC